rnacentral:ncRNA from 1 species
UUUAUAAUCCCUAACGUAGUUGGGAUUGACGUUGUAAUCAGGGUCAUGAACCAGGAAUCCCUUGUAAAUGUGUGUCAACAACGCACGUUGAAUACGUCCCUUGCCCUUUGUACACACCGCCCGUCGCUCCUACCGAUUUGGAUGACUCGGUGAAAUCACCGGAUGCUUACGAGCAGAAAGUGAUUAAAUCACGUUAUCUAGAGGAAGGAGAAGUCGUAACAAGGUAACGGUAGGUGAACCUGCCGUUGGAUCAGUU